rnacentral:rRNA from 1 species
UAGGGAAUCUUCGGCAAUGGACGAAAGUCUGACCGAGCAACGCCGCGUGAGUGAAGAAGGUUUUCGGAUCGUAAAACUCUGUUGUUAGAGAAGAACAAGGACGUUAGUAACUGAACGUCCCCUGACGGUAUCUAACCAGAAAGCCACGGCUAACUACGUGCCAGCAGCCGCGGUAAUACGUAGGUUGCAAGCGUUGUCCGGAUUUAUUGGGCGUAAAGCGAGCGCAGGCGGUUUCUUAAGUCUGAUGUGAAAGCCCCCGGCUCAACCGGGGAGGGUCAUUGGAAACUGGGAGACUUGAGUGCAGAAGAGGAGAGUGGAAUUCCAUGUGUAGCGGUGAGAUGCGUAGAUAUAUGGAGGAACACCAGUGGCGAAGGCGGCUCUCUGGUCUGUAACUGACGAUGAGGCUCGAAAGCGUGGGGAGCAAACAGG